AAUCAAGUAUAGAAGGUCCUACCUGCCCAGUGACUAAGUUAAACGGCCGCGGUAUUUUGACCGUGCAAAGGUAGCGCAAUCACUUGUCUUUUAAAUGAAGACCUGUAUGAAUGGUGAAACGAGGGCUUAACUGUCUCCCCUUUCUAAUCAGUGAAAUUGAUCUACCCGUGCAGAAGCGGGUAUAAAUAUACAAGACGAGAAGACCCUAUGGAGCUUAAGACAAAAAAUCAACUGUGCUACCCUAAUGAGGAUAAAGCAAAACAGCAAUGAUCAACCGUCUUCGGUUGGGGCGACCACGGGGGAUAACCGAUCCCCCACGUGGAGAGGGAAAACCCUAAAACCACGAGGCACACCUCUAAGUCACAGAACAUCUGACCUAAAGAUCCGACAUCUAGUCGAUCAACGGACCAAGUUACCCUAGGGAUAACAGCGCAAUCCCCUCCAAGAGCUCAUAUCGACAAGGGGGUUUACGACCUCGAUGUUGGAUCAGGACAUCCUAAUGGUGCAGCCGCUAUUAAGGGUUCGUUUGUUCAACGAUUAAAGUC
rnacentral:rRNA from 1 species